CACCCUCACCUUUGGCUCCUCGGUCUCCAGCACUCUACCCUUUCCUAACUUCCUGCCCAGAUGGUGAUGAGUGUUGUGGAUUUCCAGCACCCACGUGCACCCUGAUGACCAUGGUACAGAAUCUGGCAUCAUGCAGCACCUUCCAGGUAGGUGGCCCCUGCCCAGUACACAAUGAACCGGCAGAGAUCUGAUGUAGUAGAACCCAGCUGUAAGAGCCACCAUGGUCUGAAUGGUCCCUCACGCUGCCUGUCUCUUCACAGCUCCAUCGCCUGGUGUUCAGCCUCCGCCACAGUCAGGAGCCACGUGAGGAGAUGGGGACUUCAGGGCUCCACCAUUCCACUCCACAGGACCGUGUGCUCCCCAAUAUUCAAGAGGACCCCAAACACGCCCGGCUGGUGAACAUCAACGCCCUGAUGAUGAUGAGCGCCGCCAUCUUUCUCUGGGCUUACUAUGCUUGAAGGUUUUUAUUGUCUAAUGUUAAAUAAAAUCUUCCCACUCCCCUC